AUUGAACGCUGGCGGCAUGCUUUACACAUGCAAGUCGAACGGUAACAGGCCUUCGGGUGCUGACGAGUGGCGCACGGGGGAGUAAUGCAUCGGAACGUGCCCAGAGGUGGGGGAUAACGCAGCGAAAGCUGUGCUAAUACCGCAUGUGAUCUGAGGAUGAAAGCGGGGGACCAGGCAGCAAUGUUUGGCCUCGCGCCUUUGGAGCGGCCGAUGUCAGAUUAGGUAGUUGGUGGGGUAAAGGCCUACCAAGCCGACGAUCUGUAGCUGGUCUGAGAGGACGACCAGCCACACUGGGACUGAGACACGGCCCAGACUCCUACGGGAGGCAGCAGUGGGGAAUUUUGGACAAUGGGCGCAAGCCUGAUCCAGCAAUGCCGCGUGCGGGAAGAAGGCCUUCGGGUUGUAAACCGCUUUUGUACGGAACGAAAAGGAUCUGGCUAAUACCUGGGGCUGAUGACGGUACCGUAAGAAUAAGCACCGGCUAACUACGUG
rnacentral:rRNA from 1 species